AUUGAACGCUGCCGGCAGGCCUAACACAUGCAAGUCGAGCGGCAGCGGGACCUUCUGGUUGCCGGCGAGCGGCGGACGGGUGAGUAAUGCCUAGGAAUCUGCCUGUUAGUGGGGGAUAACGCGGGGAAACUCGCGCUAAUACCGCAUACGUCCUACGGGAGAAAGCGGGGGCUCUUCGGACCUCGCGCUAACAGAUGAGCCUAGGUCGGAUUAGCUAGUUGGGUGGGUAAUGGCCCACCAAGGCGACGCUCCGUAACUGGUAUGAGAGGAUGAUCAGUCACACUGGAGCUGAGACACGGUGCAGACUCCUAAGGGAGGCAGCGGUGGGGAAAGUUGGACAAUGGGCGAGAGCCUGCUCCACCCCUGCGGCGUGUGUGAAGAAGGUCUUCGGCUUGUAAAGCACUUUAAGUCGGGAGGAAGGGCUGUAGGCUAAUACCUUGCAGUUUUGACGUUACCGACAGAAUAAGCACCGGCUAACUUCGUGCCAGCCGCCGCCGUAA
rnacentral:rRNA from 1 species